AAGAGACAGCAGCAGCCGCGGGAAUACGUAGGGUGCAAGCGUUAAUCGGAAUUACUGGGCGUAAAGCGUGCGCAGGCGGUUAUAUAAGACAGAUGUGAAAUCCCCGGGCUCAACCUGGGAACUGCAUUUGUGACUGUAUAGCUAGAGUACGGCAGAGGGGGAUGGAAUUCCGCGUGUAGCAGUGAAAUGCGUAGAUAUGCGGAGGAACACCGAUGGCGAAGGCAAUCCCCUGGGCCUGUACUGACGCUCAUGCACGAAAGCGUGGGGAGCAAACAGGAUUAGAUACCCCUGUAGUCCCUGUCUCUUAUAC
rnacentral:rRNA from 1 species